GUAGGGUGCAGGCGUUAAUCGGAAUUACUGGGCGUAAAGCGUGCGCAGGCGGUUUCUUAAGUCAGAUGUGAAAGCCCCGGGCUUAACCUGGGAACUGCGCUUGAAACUGGGAGACUUGAGUGUGGCAGAGGGGGGUGGAAUUCCACGUGUAGCAGUGAAAUGCGUAGAUAUGUGGAGGAACACCGAUGGCGAAGGCAGCCCCCUGGGUUAACACUGACGCUCAUGCACGAAAGCGUGGGGAGCAAACAGGAUUAGAUACCCUGGUAGUCCACGCCCUAAACUAUGUCAACUGGUUGUCGGGGGAUUAACUCCCUUGGUAACGAAGCUAACGCGUGAAGUUGACCGCCUGGGGAGUACGGCCGCAAGGUUA
rnacentral:rRNA from 1 species